rnacentral:rRNA from 1 species
GAUGAACGCUGGCGGCGUGCCUAAUACAUGCAAGUCGAGCGAACGGACGAGAAGCUUGCUUUUCUGAUGUUAGCGGCGGACGGGUGAGUAACACGUGGAUAACCUACCUAUAAGACUGGGAUAACUUCGGGAAACCGGAGCUAAUACCGGAUAAUAUUUUGAACCGCAUGGUUCAAAAGUGAAAGACGGUCUUGCUGUCACUUAUAGAUGGAUUCGCGCUGCAUUAGCUAGUUGGUAAGGUAACGGCUUACCAAGGCAACGAUGCAUAGCCGACCUGAGAGAGUGAUCGGCCACACUGGAGCUGAGACGCGGACCAGAGUCCUACGGGAGGCAGCAGUAGGGAAUCUUCCGCAAUAGGCGAAAGCCUGGCGGAACAGCGCCGCGUGAGAGAUAAAGGUCUUCGGAUCGUAAAACUCUGUUAUUAGGGAAGAACAUAUGUGUAAGUAACUGUGCACAUCUUGACGGUACCUAAUCAGAAAGCCACGGCUAACUACGUG